rnacentral:lncRNA from 1 species
AUCAAUAACUGAAGCAUAAUAUAGGAAGAUGGAGUAAUUUGGAUAUAUUUUCUUUUCAUACCAAAAGUAUCACUUAUAUCACAGAAAUGAUUAAUACUAGCUACAAUUUCAAUAUGAGAGGAUGCAAGGAUUACUAAUUUCAUUAUUUCUUCCAUUUUGGUCACUCUUCUUAAUUAUAUUUUAAGUUCCAUUCUUUAACACGUGUCUAGAGAUCCCAUUGUCCAGAUAGCAUCUUUCAUUGGAAUCUUGGGUAGCUAGACACAUUUGCUAAAAAUGAUCAUGUUUUCAACUUAGAAACCCAAGCUCUU